AGUGCCACAAGUUCAAUCUCACAGAUGGAUGAAUCAAGACAGAACACAAUGAAAAAGCCAACAAAUUAUAUAUCCACCAAAUACAAUGCAUCAUAUUAUGAGUCUGGAAAGUAGAAGUAAUCAACAAUAUGCCAAUGAAACAGAGACUUAAAUUAAUCACAAUGACUGAAUAAGAGAAAAUAGCACAUCAUAAAGCGAAAACCGUAACUGUGUUAUCA
rnacentral:sRNA from 1 species